GAUGAACGCUGGCGGCGUGCCUAAUACAUGCAAGUCGAGCGAACAGAUGAGGAGCUUGCUCCUCUGACGUUAGCGGCGGACGGGUGAGUAACACGUGGAUAACCUACCUAUAAGACUGGGAUAACUUCGGGAAACCGGAGCUAAUACCGGAUAAUAUAUUGAACCGCAUGGUUCAAUAGUGAAAGACGGUUUUGCUGUCACUUAUAGAUGGAUCCGCGCCGCAUUAGCUAGUUGGUAAGGUAACGGCUUACCAAGGCAACGAUGCGUAGCCGACCUGAGAGGGUGAUCGGCCACACUGGAACUGGGACACGGUCCAGACUCCUACGGGAGGCAGCAGUAGGGAAUCUUCCGCAAUGGGCGAAAGCCUGACGGAGCAACGCCGCGUGAGUGAUGAAGGUCUUCGGAUCGUAAAACUCUGUUAUUAGGGAAGAACAAAUGUGUAAGUAACUAUGCGCGUCUUGACGGUACCUAAUCAGAAAGCCACGGCUAACUACGUG
rnacentral:rRNA from 1 species